rnacentral:lncRNA from 1 species
GAGAGGGCAACAACAUUGAUUAGCUUUGGUUUCUUCUAGAGUGUUAAAAUUUCCAGGGCUACUAUUACAAUAACAAAAGUCAAAUAUGUAUCUUUCAGACCAGUAGAAGAUUCUAAGUGAAAUAAGAAAACAGCCCCAAUUCAAUGAAAAAAAAGGCAAGAAAAGGAAAAGUUUACAACUAAAUAAAUUAAGAUAAAAAUUAUCAAAACAAUGGCAAAGAGGAAAAAUAAAUGGAAAAUACAAGCUAAGCUCUGGAGUCCUCUUGCCUGAGUGUCUUUACGAGGUGUGAUAAAAAAUACUGUGGAUGCUGCUGCCGAGCACCAUGCAGUGGAACAGCAGCUCCUAAAAACACGAUGCUGUGUCCUCAUCCACCCUGUUCACUGCAUCUGGCACCUAGCGACUUCUGGCUCCUCCCAAGUCAACAUGACCACGAAAGGGAGACAUUCUGAGUCGAUUCAGGACAUCAAGGCAGCCAGGACAGUUCGACUAAGACACUAAUGAAAGAGAACUGCAGAGCUGCUGCAGAAAGUGGCAAGAAUGAUGGGAUAUUUGUUCCCAGCAAUGGAAAGGUGACCAGUACAUGUUUCAAAAGUGCUACCCGCGUGAAACAACAACUCUCCGCACUUCCUGCCCGUUGGCAGCCCUCAUUCCACUUUCUGUGUCUAGUGAAUUUGACACCGCGUGCACCUUAUGACAUUUAUUUCACCUACAAGAUGUGCCUGGGACAGGGUAGAGCAUCAACUUCAUGGACUCUGGGACCACUCAACAUUGGUGGAGCACACGACUGUGUGAGUCUGUGUGGGUCACAGAGGUGUGACUUGGUCCUCCGUGUCUGACUGUUGGGCCCUCUCCCUGGUGUGUUCCUCUGCUCUGCUUGCUGUCCACCAUGAACUGAGUGGAUUUGCUCCAGGACACCCUUCUGCCAUGAUGCUCCUGUUUUGGAACCAGGGACUGAGUCCCUGAAACCGUGAACCAUAUUAAACUUCUACUCCUUUGAGCUGUGGAUGUCAGCUCUGAAGAGGGAGCCAGGGCCUCCCACAUGCUCAGCAAGGGCUCUACCAGUGAGCUGUGCUCCCUGCCUGGGCUGCGACUCUCAUUCAGCUGUUCCUCGGCUUUCCACCGAGCUCAUGUCACAGCAAACCCACUGAAAUCUGAAAAUACGAUAGCUGGACAUUCUUCUCUGUGUGCCAUGUUUAAACACUCCUAUGCCUGCCAAACUUAUCUCGAGCAUUGACCAUCGAUUAAAAGGGGAGAUCCUGUGGUAAUACCAAGACAUCAGCAAAAUUCGUCAGGACUAUGGGAGAAACACAAAGCACCCAGACCCCUCACAAAUGCAGCAGAAUCAGCCAUGCUUCACAGGUGCUGAAGGUCAAGGAGAAAUAACUGCUCCUCAG